rnacentral:rRNA from 1 species
UGCCAGCCGCCGCGGUAAUACGAGGGGUGCUAGCGUUGUUCGGAAUUAUUGGGCGUAAAGAGUACGUAGGCGGUUUAGUAAGUUGAAUGUGAAAGCCCAAGGCUCAACCUUGGAACUGCAUUCAAUACUGCUAGACUAGAGCAUGGCGGGAGAUAGUGGAAUUCCUAGUGUAGGGGUGAAAUCCGUAGAUAUUAGGAGGAACAUCAGUGGCGAAGGCGACUAUCUACACCAUUGCUGACGCUGAGGUACGAAAGUGUGGGGAGCAAACAGGAUUAGAUA